UACGUAGGGGGCAAGCGUUGUCCGGAAUCAUUGGGCGUAAAGAGCGCGUAGGCGGUCCGGUAAGUCGGUUGUGAAAACUGGGGGGCUCAACCCUCAGAGGCCGACCGAUACUGUCGGGCUAGAGUCCGGAAGAGGCGAGUGGAAUUCCUGGUGUAGCGGUGAAAUGCGCAGAUAUCGGGAAGAACACCCGUGGCGAAGGCGGCUCUCUGGGACGGUACUGACGCUGAGACGCGAAAGCGUGGGGAGCGAACAGG
rnacentral:rRNA from 1 species